UACGUAGGGGGCAAGCGUUGUCCGGAAUUAUUGGGCGUAAAGCGCGCGCAGGCGGCCUUGUAAGUCUGUCGCUUAAACUCGGAGCUCAACUUCGAGUCGCGAUGGAAACUGCAAAGCUUGAGUGCAGAAGAGGAAAGUGGAAUUCCACGUGUAGCGGUGAAAUGCGUAGAGAUGUGGAGGAACACCAGUGGCGAAGGCGACUUUCUGGGCUGUAACUGACGCUGAGGCGCGAAAGCGUGGGGAGCAAACAGG
rnacentral:rRNA from 1 species